rnacentral:rRNA from 1 species
UAAUACGUAGGGACCUAGCGUUGUCCGGAAUCAUUGGGCGUAAAGCGCGCGUAGGCGGCCCGGUAAGUCCGUUGUAAAAGUCAAAGGCUCAACCUUUGAAAGCCGAUGGAUACUGCCGGGCUAGAGUCCGGAAGAGGCGAGUAGAAUUCCUGGUGUAGCGGUGGAAUGCGCAGAUAUCAGGAGGAAUACCCAUAGCGAAGGCAGCUCGCU